GAGCAUAACAUUUAUAGAAAAAGUAACAAUGUCAAUUGUAAAAAUUUAUGAUUUUUUUAACUUUUGUAUCUCUCGUAUGCUUACGCAUGUCUGUAUUAUUCAAUAUUUAUAUAUGAGAUAUCAUUAUCUCAGUUAUAUAUAUAACUCAACCAGAAUCAGACGCAUUAUUUGCAGAUCAAGAGAUACAGUGUAUUUCCUAUCUAGAGUAUGCAAAACCUUAUGUUAUAUUACACGUAAAAUAUUAUUCUACGUACGUGGCAUAUAAUCGGCAUUGCAAUAUUUGGAUUAUUCUCGGCUAGAGAAUCUGAUAAACUUUGGGAAAGAAGAUCUAGAAAAAAGGAGCAUCUCUCGGAGGAGUGCGAAGGAUCCUGCUGAACAUCGAAGCUGAACAUCAGGACUUCUGUACACAAGACGUUCGUGUUAUAUUAAAUGAAAAAAAUGCUGUUCUAUAUACGUAUAUUCGGCAUUGCAAUAUUUGGAUUACUCUCGGCUGGAGAAUCUAAACUUCGUAAGU